AAGUCGUAACAAGGUCUCCGUAGGUGAACCUGCGGAGGGAUCAUUAACACGUAUCCACGUAUUAACUCAACGUGAACGAUUAUUGCGUAAGAAAAAAAGAAUAGGAAAUUUUUUCUAUUUUUUUUUUUCGAUACCAUUUUUUUAACCACAUUCAGUAGAACAACAAUUGAACAAAAUUAUUAUGACUUAUUUUAAUAGUUUUUAAGAUCUUCAAAACAUCUUAAAUCUAUUUUUCUUUACGAAAAUUAGAACAACUCUUAACAACGGAUAUCUUGGUUCUC
rnacentral:misc_RNA from 1 species